GUGAUGCGCAGAAGUGCGGAGCGGAAGCGUUUCCUUCCAUAGGGCUCCCCCUCCCUGUUUACAGCCUUAAUCUUAGCACAUACAUUUAUUAACCUCUACCAAAGCGAUAAGGAUUUUAAGAAUGCACGAUGACAUCGUCUUUUCUGCUAGUGUCACUCCUCUUGCUACCAGCGGCGUCUGGAGUGUCUGUGUCCGAUUUCACUUCCAAGUCUUCGGCUUGCGCCAGCGACUACUCGUGUGAGGCUUCUUCAAGGACCUCGGGAAGCAGCGGGCCAAUGUGCAGGUGUGAUAAGGAGUGCAUCAUCUACGGUGAUUGUUGUUACGAUGCUCCCACUUACGAUAGGGCCAAACAGAUUCAGAACCUGGGAAAACGUCAGUGCAUAGGUGGAAGUUACAUGUUUAACACCUGCCCUGAAGAGUGGCAGGAUACCGACGUAGAAUCGUUAUGCAGGAACCAUUCACCUCUGGAUAUCGCUGACAGCAGAGACCCAGUUCUACAUCUGCCUGUUACCAGUAAAAUUACGAAUUUUACUUACUCCAAUUACUACUGCGCUUUGUGUCAUUCCGAUGCUGUUAAUAUAGAGGUGUGGAAUUCCAAAAUGCAGUGUUUCUUCACUAGUAAUAACAAAACGUCAGACGGAAAUACUAAUAAUACUAAUAUGCUACAAGAUUUGUUGAACCUUCGAAAAGACAGAAUAACCCUUCGUGAAGGCACAGACGAUGAAAAAUCGUUAAAGCUCAUAAAGCCUAGUCUAAAGUUUAACAAAGAAAGGAAAAAGUGGCUGAUAACGAAUUCAAACAACAGUGACAUCAUCAUGGAAUGUUCCUUUAAUUUAGACCUUAACAAAGUUCGUCCAUCAAAUAAGUGCAGUUCAUCCAUAAGCAGCUGCGCUGCGAACUGGACUAACAAAGAAGUGGAAAAUCUUUGUCUCUCCCUUUCAGCUCCUGUUGACUACUACAGCGACUGCAAAAUAGUUAACAAUAGUGGCAUCGUGUAUGCUAAAACGAACGUUACACCAAUUUCAUACAGAAAUAUGUUCUGCGCAGAGUGCAAUUACAACCCAAUUGAAAGUCCUUGCUUAGUGUUUGUUCAGCAGGAUACAAGAGACAAAUCUUUCCCAAUUCCUCCAUUAACAGUUUUGCUUCAUGUUCCUGAACACAUUCACAGGAUAAAUCUACAGGCAAAUGCAAACUGCAAAGAUAAUGAAACUUUCAUUCAUUUGUAUAAUACUAAAGACAUUUGCAUACUUUGUCAAACUGUAAGGGAGCAAAAUACAGAGGGAAAAUGUAUUGCUAAAAACUAUGACUAUGAACUUCAAGGUGGUCCAGUUACUCGGGAAAACAACGAGAAAAAUGUUUUCGAUCAAAACACAACUUUAUUAUACGAAGAUGAAACCAACAUAUCCUGUGACGAGUUUUUUAUAUGGAAUAAUAGUUUUCUACCAAGCACACGUAAUCUGACAACAGAAGGAACCUCUGAGGGUCUCCAUAAAAAAUAUAACAAAAGUAAGGUAGGAAUAACUAGUAUCAAUGAGUGCCUGACAAAGUCACGUUAUAUUAUGAUAUCGGUCAUUUCUCUUAUGUGUAUCACCCUUUCCGUCAUAAGUAUAUUACUUCAUCUAAUGGCGUUCGCGUUCGUGAAAAGUCUGAGAAACCUUCCUGGGAUGAACUUAGCCACUCUUUGCUGUUUUCUGCUGAUGGGAUAUAUUGCGUUCAUCAGCUCAGACAGGGAACCCAAAACGACCCCGUGCUACUUGGUAGCAUCCGCUAUUUACUUUUGUUUCAUUGGGUCCUUUUGCUGGAUGAAUGUGAUAGCUUUUGAUACUUGGCUGACUUUCAGAACAGGCACUACAGUUGUCAGGUCGCUGGAGACUUGGAGACAUUACAGAAGAUAUUCUCUCGUCAGUUGGUCAUUGUCGGCCUUUGCUGUGGCUUCGCUGAUCGCUGUCGACAAACUUCAGUUACCAGGAAUACCAAAGUCUUUGCUACCCAAACUAGGAGAAAAUUGGUGUUGGUUUGGACAAAGGUUAUCAUUACUACUAUUCUUCGUCGCGCCUAUGAUGGUAUCUAGCAUUUUCACAUUAGUCUUUUUCAUCAAGACGUCACGUCUCAUAUCUAGAGAUCAUCAAGAACAAAGCAGGAUCCCGGGAAUCCAAAGAAAGAGAGACUUAUUUAAAACUAACAGAAGGCUCGCAGUUUCAAUGGGGCUUACUUGGGUGACUGCUGUGGUGGCUGGUUCGGUGGAAAUCCCAUUUGUGUGGUUUAUUUUUAUCCUUUUCAAUGGUCUGCAAGGAGUUUUCAUUUUCGCCACAUUCACCUGCCAAAAAAGAGUGUGGGAGAAUAUCGUGAAGGUUUGGAAACGAAAGAAUACUGACGUAGAUCACGGAGGAACCUGGCCUAGAAGAAAUACUUCCUUAAGCAGGCAUCAACAAAGGCGCUUGGAACUACUGCACGUUUCUACAUCCUAUGAUCUGGCACACCCACCGGCUCGAGUGACUGGAGUCUAUCCACAGCAGGCAGUGUGACACCAAGCAAUAACCUUCAUCCUGCAUGCAACUGCAAUACAUUAUUUUCAUGGAAACGAUGAGGCAUCGGAGAAAAAGUGACGAAGAUUGAGGCCAGAUUGCAACCGUUGCGUUAGUGCAGACAUUCACUAUACCUAACAAGACAUGGUGCAGUUGUAUUGGAAACAACUUUCGCAUGUAGAAGAAGAAGAAGAAGAAGAAGAAGAAGAAGAAGAAGACGAAGAAGAAGAAGAAGACGACGAUGAUGAUGAUGAAAAGAUCGUCGACAACACAAUUGAUUGUCGGCUGUUUGUUAUUAACUACUUAUCUUUAUGAAACUGUGGACACUCCAUUACAUGUAGCAAUUAGAUUAACCUUUGCACAUUAGCUUUUUUUAUAAUAAACUAAAAAUAAUACUUUAUUUUCCAGAAUAACAAUAAGGAACUAUUUUGUAGUUUUUGAAGUUUUUAUUUUAAAAAUACAUUUUAUAAUUUUUCAGGUUCAAUGAUUGUCAUAUUAAAUCCGUGUUUUUAAUGCUGACAAAUUAGCUAACUGAAAAAACUGAACAGGUUGCAAGGUACCGUUUACCGUGUCAGCUACCCAGCCAUGCAGCGUCAGAAAUUUCCUACUUUGUGCCUUCACAUGAACAGCAGCAGCUGCUGGUGCAGUGUUUGAAGGUCUCGACAGUAUUUGAAGAAGGCUUCAGCACUAACUUUAUUUCAAUCUCUUUGAAAGGAACCCACACACCACAACAGGAAAUAUUAGAAAUAAAGAGUAACAUCUUAUCGCACAGUCACAUUUGGUUAAGAAACACGCCACGAACAUGACAUCUCAGCUUGAACAAAAUAAAUAUAGAAGAAAGACUAAAUCUGCAAAAUACAGAUAUUUGAAAUAGGAGAAAAACCUGAAAAUGUAUUGCACACAGUAACCAAGAAUACAAAAGUAAAGUGUGUGAGUUUCUGAGGCUAUCAUUAUAAGAAGGCAACGUGUUACCCAAAUAUUCUAGUUUGGUUACGUUUGUUUAUCUAUCUAGCAAUAUACAUAUAUAUAUAUAUAUAUA